rnacentral:lncRNA from 1 species
CAAUAAAGCUCUUGCGCUCUGGCUCCUAAAGAUGUAAGCAAUAGAGCUCUUGCUCUCUUGCACUCUUGCUCCUGAAGAUGUAAGCAAUAAAGUUUUGCCGCAGAAGAUUCCGGUUUGUUGCGCUCUUUCCUGGCCGGUCGCGAGAACGCGGGUAAGGGAAUUUAGAGGUGGCUCUUUCCCGAAGCUUCCAAGGAAGGUCCCAAACUGUGACCAAAGAGAAACAGUAGCUAUUGUGGAUUCUCACUCCAUUUUGCAGACCUCCACCAGCCUCUACCUUCCAAGUGCUGGGAUUGAAGGUGUGCUCCCGGGCUACCAGAGUUCAAAGUCUGAGUAAGUGGCUGAGAGAGACAAGCAAAGCGACAGCUUUGAUCAAGGGGACUCAGUCUAGCAGAAUAACCCUAGCUUGGAGCUGCUCUCUCUCAAGAAGAAAAAGAACUGGAGGAAACACACCAUUGCCUAACUCUGAACGUUUAGGCUUGUAUAUAGUUAGGCCUGUCUACAUUCCAGCAGUGAAUGGUAGAUCAUAUGAUCAAACUGUCAUCAGUGGAGCUGGAAAGGAUAUCUCCAUCUUGGGAUGUAGGACAGUCACCUAGCAACCACUGAUGAUAAAUAGCCCUUAACAGGAAGAACAGCUUAGUUAGAAUUAGUUGAGAACUGCAAUGCCAGUUACCACACAAUAAGAGCAAGACACUCCUUACGGCAUUGUGAGAAUGGAGCCGCUCAAGGAUCCUGAAACUGUUCUCCACUUAAGAAGGGCUCUAAGAUCACAGCAACAGUGAUUUUCGGCUUCUGCUGGGAGUUAGUCUCACUACUGAGUUGGAUUA